CCUACGGGGCGCUGCAGUGGGGAAUAUUGGACAAUGGGCGAAAGCCUGAUCCAGCCAUGCCGCGUGUGUGAAGAAGGCCUUCGGGUUGUAAAGCACUUUCAGUGGGGAAGAAAGCCUUGGGGCUAAUACCCUCGAGGAAGGACAUCACCCACAGAAGAAGCACCGGCUAACUCCGUGCCAGGAGCCGCGGUAAUACGGAGGGUGCGAGCGUUAAUCGGAAUUACUGGGCGUAAAGCGCGCGUAGGCGGUCUGAUAAGCCGGUUGUGAAAGCCCCGGGCUCAACCUGGGAACGGCAUCCGGAACUGUCAGGCUAGAGUGCAGGAGAGGAAGGUAGAAUUCCCGGUGUAGCGGUGAAAUGCGUAGAGAUCGGGAGGAAUACCAGUGGCGAAGGCGGCCUUCUGGACUGACACUGACGCUGAGGUGCGAAAGCGUGGGUAGCAAACAGGAUUAGAUACCCCAGUAGUC
rnacentral:rRNA from 1 species